rnacentral:tRNA from 1 species
GAGGGUAUAGCUCAGCGGUAGAGCACAUGCUUAGCAUGCAUAAGGUCCUGGGUUCAAUCCCCAGGACCUCCA